rnacentral:rRNA from 1 species
UACGAAGGGGGCUAGCGUUGCUCGGAAUGACUGGGCGUAAAGGGCGCGUAGGCGGAUGGCACAGUCAGAUGUGAAAUUCCCGGGCUUAACCUGGGGGCUGCAUUUGAUACGUGUUGUCUAGAGUGAGGAAGAGGGUCGUGGAAUUCCCAGUGUAGAGGUGAAAUUCGUAGAUAUUCGCAAGAACACCGAGUGGCGGAAGGCGGCUCACUGGCCCGGUACUGACGCUGAGGCACGAAAGCGUGGGGAGCAAACAGGG